GUGGGGAAUUUUGGACAAUGGGCGCAAGCCUGAUCCAGCAAUGCCGCGUGCAGGAAGAAGGCCUUCGGGUUGUAAACUGCUUUUGUCAGGGAAGAAAUCUUCAGGGCUAAUACCCCGGGAGGAUGACGGUACCUGAAGAAUAAGCACCGGCUAACUACGUGCCAGCAGCCGCGGUAAUACGUAGGGUGCGAGCGUUAAUCGGAAUUACUGGGCGUAAAGCGUGCGCAGGCGGCUUUGCAAGACAGAUGUGAAAUCCCCGGGCUCAACCUGGGAACUGCAUUUGUGACUGCAAGGCUAGAGUACGGCAGAGGGGGAUGGAAUUCCGCGUGUAGCAGUGAAAUGCGUAGAUAUGCGGAGGAACACCAAUGGCGAAGGCAAUCCCCUGGGCCUGUACUGACGCUCAUGCACGAAAGCGUGGGGAGCAAACAGGAUUAGAAACCCUGGUAGUCC
rnacentral:rRNA from 1 species